UCGAGAAUCUUCGGCAAUGGGCGCAAGCCUGACCGAGCGACGCCGCGUGGAGGACGAAGGCCUUCGGGUUGUAAACUCCUGUCGAGGGGAAGGAAGGGGCCGAAAGGCCCUUGACCGCUCCCUGGAGGAAGCACGGGCUAAGUUCGUGCCAGCAGCCGCGGUAAGACGAACCGUGCGAACGUUAUUCGGAAUCACUGGGCUUAAAGCGCGUGUAGGCGGGGCGGUGCGUCGGUCGCUGAAAUCCCCCGGCUCAACCGGGGAAGGGGCGCCGAUACGACCGGCCUGGAGCGACGUAGGGGGAACUGGAACUUCCGGUGGAGCGGUGAAAUGCGUUGAGAUCGGAAGGAACGCCCGUGGCGAAAGCGAGUUCCUGGACGUCGGCUGACGCUGAGACGCGAAAGCCAGGGGAGCGAACGG
rnacentral:rRNA from 1 species